UACGGGGGGGGCAAGCGUUGUUCGGAAUUACUGGGCGUAAAGGGCUCGUAGGCGGCCAACUAAGUCAGACGUGAAAUCCCUCAGCUUAACUGGGGAACUGCGUCUGAUACUGGAUGGCUUGGAUUCGGGAGAGGAAUGCGGAAUUCCAGGUGUAGCGGUGAAAUGCGUAGAUAUCUGGAGGAACACCGGUGGCGAAGGCGGUUCUCUGGGACGGUACUGACGCUGAGACGCGAAAGCGUGGGGAGCGAACGGG
rnacentral:rRNA from 1 species